rnacentral:rRNA from 1 species
GACGAACGCUGGCGGCGUGCUUAACACAUGCAAGUCGAACGGAAAGGCCUGCUUUCCCUUGUGGAUUGCGGGUACUCGAGUGGCGAACGGGUGAGUAACACGUGAGUGAUCUGCCCCCAACUUGGGUAUAAGCCUGGGAAACUGGGUCUAAUUCCCGAUAGGACUGCAGGGUGGUGCCUGUGGUGGAAAACGAUUUUCUAGUGGUUGGGGAUGAGCUCGCGGCCUAUCAGCUUGUUGGUGGGGUAAUGGCCUACCAAGGCGGCGACGGGUAGCCGGCCUGAGAGGGUGGACGGCCACAUUGGGACUGAGAUACGGCCCAGACUCCUACGGGAGGCAGCAGUGGGGAAUAGUGGACAAUGGGCGGAAGCCUGAUGCAGCGACGCCGCGUGGGGGAUGACGGCCUUCGGGUGGUAAACUCCUUUCGACCGCGAGGAAGCCACCUGGUUGGAAGGGUGGUGACGGUAGUGGUAGAAGAAGCACCGGCUAACUACGUG